ensembl:lncRNA
CACUCAUAUACACACUAAGCCUCUCUCUUGCUCUCACUUUGUGGUAUUCUGGUGAGAAUGUGCUGAAGAUUUUGUCUGUUUCUCCUUCUUUGGUUUGUUGACCUUAUGGAAGAUCAAUCCAGGCGGAGUUCUGUCUGUCUGGACACAUUAUAAUGGAUUAGAGAUUAUGCUGAUGUUGAGUGUGGCUUCAUGACUGCAGGAUUAUCUCUGAAGUGGGUGUGGAUGUGUGUGCGCGCAUGUACGGAGAUCCCGAGCUAAGUUGAGCUGAUGCAGUGUGUUAUACAGUGGGCAUGGAGGAACGUCGUGCCCUGAAGGGGUGUGGCUGUUCAAACCUCUUUCAGAAAGUUUUGGCCACGUGUGAAUGCUACUCCAUCAGAGAUCAAGGACAUCUAUGUAUCAUCGUUGUUACCAAGUGUCUCCAGGAGGAGGUCAUAACUUUUAAUGUAAGUCAAUAUAAAUUUAUUUUAUUUCAAGUAGUUCUGUAGUAUUUCUA